rnacentral:rRNA from 1 species
GACGAACGCUGGCGGCGUGCUUAACACAUGCAAGUCGAACGAAGUGGCGAACGGGUGAGUAACGCGUAAUCAACCUGCCCUUCAGAGGGGGACAACAGUUGGAAACGACUGCUAAUACCGCAUACUGAAGGAGGGGAUUGCGUCGGAUUAGCUAGUUGGAGGGGUAGCGGCCCACCAAGGCGAUGAUCAGGAGCCGGUCUGGGCGGAGGUACGGCCACAUUGGGACCUGGACACGGCCCAGAUUCCUACGGGAGGCAGCAGUGGGGAAGCUUCCGCAAUGGACGAAAGUCUGACGCAGCAACGCCGCGUGAGUGGUGACGGCCUUCUGGUUGUAAAGCUCUGUUAAUCGGGACGCGGUACCGGAAUAGAAAGCCACGGCUAACUACGUGCCAGCAGCCGCGGUAAUUC